rnacentral:rRNA from 1 species
AUUGAACGCUGGCGGCAGGCUUAACACAUGCAAGUCGAGCGAGCGGCGGACGGGUGAGUUAUGUCUGUGAAACUGCCUGGUGGAGGGGGAUAACUACUGGAAACUGUAGCUAAUACCGCAUACCAUCAGAUGUGCCCAGAUGGGAUUAGCUAGUGGGUGGGGUAAUGGCUCACCUAGGCGACGAUCCGUAGCUGGUCUGAGAGGAUGACCAGCCACACUGGAACGGAGACACGGUCCAGACUCCUACGGGAGGCAGCAGUGGGGAAUAUUGCACAAUGGGCGCAAGCCUGAUGCAGCCAUGCCGCGUGUGUGAAGAAGGCCUUCGGGUUGUAAAGCACUUUCAGCGAGGAGGCGUUACUCGCAGAAUAAGCACCGGCUAACUCCGUGCCAGCAGCCGCGGUAAUAC